UACAGAGGUGGCAAGCGUUGUUCGGAAUUACUGGGCGUAAAGGGCGAGUAGGUGGCCAUCUAAGUCAGGCGUGAAAUCCCCCGGCUUAACCUGGGAACUGCGUCUGAUACUGGACGGCUUGAGUAUGGGAGAGGAACGUAGAAUUCCAGGUGUAGCGGUGAAAUGCGUAGAUAUCUGGAGGAAUACCGGUGGCGAAGGCGGCGUUCUGGACCAUUACUGACACUGAAUCGCGAAAGCUAGGGGAGCAAACGGG
rnacentral:rRNA from 1 species